rnacentral:lncRNA from 1 species
CGAACAACAACAUGACAACAUGAAACAACAAACUCAUUAUAUUUUCUUUUGAUAUUACUGUUGCGUAUGGGUCGAUGGACCUACCCCACAUUGGUCAUCCAAUAAAAGAACUUGGAUAUUAGAAGCAAGGUUUAAAUAAAUUGAGUUUGCUGCCCUGUAUGGCGUGCAGAACAAUUAAAUAAAGUUGAGUUGCUAAAGCCAAGUCAGUUUUGUUGUGCGCCAAACUCACUGGAUGGGGCAGGGGCGUGAGGUAGAAGGGUGACCGGUUGUUCGCUCGCAGCAGAUCUGCGGUUCUGUCAUGUGAGACGCGUUCUGUUGCAAGACAGGGGAGACGCAGCGCACUACGCCUUCUCUCUAGACGCGCUCCGGACUACCGGGUGUGUGGAACACCAACAGGACGCGGCACAACUCAUUCUCAAGUGGACUACAACAGCGCGAAGCAGGCUUUUCUGUGCUGGGUGGCUUCAAGUGGGACACAGUGGGUAAAACGCGGAUCACUGUUCCUUUUCAAACAGUUGUUGGAACUGUAAAGCUACAGAGGAAUAGGGGACGCAUGAGGAUAUCUGAGCAUUUACACGCAACGCUACACGACCGUCUGGUGUGAUGCUUAUUUUACACGACUCGCUCGGAAGCAAAUAUUAACAUUGUUUAGGACAUUUUGUCGCAUUUACAAGUAGCAAGUCAAAAUUCGUGUCAAACAGUCAACUAACAAGAGUGCAAGAUUCACGAUGAUUACUCUGAUCUUCACAGUAUUACUCGGAGCGAGAGCAGUGCUGGGCACUCAGGAGUCGUGCGGCUCAGGGAGAGAGAGUGUGUGUGUGUGUGUGUGUGUGUGUGUGUCUAACCCCUCUGUCUCCUCUCUGUCCCCCAGAGAGCAGUGCUGGGCACUCAGGAGUCGUGCGGCUCAGGGAAGUUCACCACCUCUGGGGAAUGCUGCAUUCAGUGCCAGCCUGGAGAGGGGGUCCUGGAGGAGUGUGGAGAGUCCCAGACUGUGUGUAUGCCAUGCCUGGACAGUGAGUAUACACACACACACACUAACGACACACACACACACUGUGAGGGACCGGGCGGUCACCCCACGUUGUUUUGGUAGCCUGAAGCUAAGUACAUCAGCUAGCCCGCAGAAAAUAAACACAUCAACUAGGCACACAGACAAGGCACACAGACAAGGCACAAAAUAGAGGCACAAAACAAAGCAAACCGUGUUCACACGGCUAAACACAAAACACUUCACCUCACAGCAGG